rnacentral:lncRNA from 1 species
AAAUCGAAAUUGUUUUGUCGCUACGGCCUUAACAAUUUAACUACAUCUUGUCGCUAUGGCCUCGAUGUAUAGAUCACUCUGUCGCUUCGGCCAGAGAUGAACUCAAAGGGUAUAAGUCUUAGGAACACGUAAAACCCUAGAUCACCAACACUUAGGGUUUCCAAACUAGUCUAUUUUGUCGCUAUGGCCUCAAUAGAUUAGAAAUUGUUUUGUCGCUAUGGC